rnacentral:rRNA from 1 species
GACGUAGGGGCCGAGCGUUGUCCGGAGUUAUUGGGCGUAAAGCGCGCGCAGGCGGCUUCGCGCGCCCGACGUGAAAGCCCCCCGGCUUAACCGGGGAGAGUCGUUGGGGACGGCGGGGCUUGAGGGCGGGAGAGGUCGGUGGAAUUCCCGGUGUAGUGGUGAAAUGCGUAGAGAUCGGGAGGAACACCUGUGGCGAAGGCGGCCGACUGGGCCGACCCUGACGCUGAGGCGCGAAGGCGUGGGGAGCGAACGGGAUUGAGAU